ACGAACGCUGGCGGCGUGCUUAACACAUGCAAGUCGCACGGAAAGGCCCUGCUUUUGUGGGGUGCUCGAGUGGCGAACGGGUGAGUAACACGUGAGUAACCUGCCCUUGACUUUGGGAUAUCUUCAGGAAACUGGGGCUAAUACCGGAUAGGAGCUCCUGCUGCAUGGUGGGGGUUGGAAAGUUUCGGCGGUUGGGGAUGGACUCGCGGCUUAUCAGCUUGUUGGUGGGGUAGUGGCUUACCAAGGCUUUGACGGGUAGCCGGCCUGAGAGGGUGACCGGCCACAUUGGGACUGAGAUACGGCCCAGACUCCUACGGGAGGCAGCAGUGGGGAAUAUUGCACAAUGGGCGGAAGCCUGAUGCAGCAACGCCGCGUGCGGGAUGACGGCCUUCGGGUUGUAAACCGCUUUCGCCUGUGACGAAGCGUGAGUGACGGUAAUGGGUAAAGAAGCACCGGCUAACUACGUG
rnacentral:rRNA from 1 species